rnacentral:misc_RNA from 1 species
GGAAGUAAAAGUCAUAACAAGGUUUCCGUAGGUGAACCUGCGGAAGGAUCAUUAAAGUUAUAGUCCCCCGGCCCUCUGGGCUGGGGUCUUCUAUACCACCCUUUGUUUAUUACACCUUUGUUGCUUUGGUAGGCCUGCCCUCGGGCUGCUGGCUCCGGCCGGCUCGCGUCUGCCAGAGGACCUAAACUCUGUUUGUAUAUGAAGUCUGAGUACUAUAUAAUAGUUAAAACUUUCAACAACGGAUCUCUUGGUUCUG